rnacentral:rRNA from 1 species
AGAGUUUGAUCAUGGCUCAGAUUGAACGCUGGCGGCAGGCCUAACACAUGCAAGUCGAGCGGAAACGAGUUAUCUGAACCUUCGGGGAACGAUAACGGCGUCGAGCGGCGGACGGGUGAGUAAUGCCUAGGAAAUUGCCCUGAUGUGGGGGAUAACUAUUGGAAACGAUGGCUAAUACCGCAUAACACCUACGGGUCAAAGAGGGGGACCUUCGGGCCUCUCGCGUCAGGAUAUGCCUAGGUGGGAUUAGCUAGUUGGUGAGGUAAUGGCUCACCAAGGCGACGAUCCCUAGCUGGUCUGAGAGGAUGAUCAGCCACACUGGAACUGAGACACGGUCCAGACUCCUACGGGAGGCAGCAGUGGGGAAUAUUGCACAAUGGGCGCAAGCCUGAUGCAGCCAUGCCGCGUGUGUGAAGAAGGCCUUCGGGUUGUAAAGCACUUUCAGUCGUGAGGAAGGUAGUGUAGUUAAUAGCUGCAUUAUUUGACGUUAGCGACAGAAGAAGCACCGGCUAACUCCGUGCCAGCAGCCGCGGUAAU